rnacentral:rRNA from 1 species
AUACGUAGGGGGCGAGCGUUGUCCGGAAUGAUUGGGCGUAAAGGGCGCGUAGGCGGCCCGGUAAGUCUGGAGUGAAAGUCCUGUUUUUAAGAUGGGAAUUGCUUUGGAUACUGUCGGGCUUGAGUGCAGGAGAGGUAAGUGGAAUUCCCAGUGUAGCGGUGAAAUGCGUAGAGAUUGGGAGGAACACCAGUGGCGAAGGCGACUUACUGGACUGUAACUGACGCUGAGGCGCGAAAGUGUGGGGAGCAAACAGGAUUAGAUACCCUGGUAGUCCACACUGUAAACGAUGAAUGCUAGGUGUAAGAGGUAUCGACCCCUUUUGUGCCGGAGUCAACACAAUAAGCAUUCCGCCUGGGGAGUACGGCCGCAAGGUUGAAACUCAAAUGAAUUGACGGGG